rnacentral:rRNA from 1 species
AUGAAGAGUUUGAUCCUGGCUCAGGAUGAACGCUAGCGGCAGGCCUAACACAUGCAAGUCGAGGGGUAACAGGGAGCUUGCUCUGCUGACGACCGGCGCACGGGUGCGUAACGCGUAUAGAAUCUACCUUGUACUGAGGAAUAGCCUUUGGAAACGAAGAUUAAUGCCUCAUAGUAUGUUAAGUUCGCAUGAACACUACAUUAAAGGUUACGGUAUAAGAUGACUAUGCGUUCUAUUAGCUAGAUGGUGUGGUAACGGCACACCAUGGCGACGAUAGAUAGGGGCCCUGAGAGGGGGAUCCCCCACACUGGUACUGAGACACGGACCAGACUCCUACGGGAGGCAGCAGUGGGGAAUAUUG